rnacentral:lncRNA from 1 species
UCGCUGCCACCCUGCGCUGCUCGCCGGUGCUCCCUCCCUCUCUCCCUUCCUCCUCUGCUGCCUCCAUUGCUACCCCAUGUUCUCCAAUGAGCCAAUCCCCUGCUUCCCCCCACCAGAGAUGAGGACGGCGACGACGACUACGACGGCUACGACGAGGUAGGUCGAUUCUUCUCUAGAUUUGAGUUCUCCUCCUCUUCUUUUUCCAGAUCUGAGCCCUUCUCUCCUCCGCCUUCUCCUCCUCCCGCUCUUCUAGAUCUGAGCUCUUCUCCUCUUCUAGAUUUGAGGGAUGCGACAGUGGCUAAGUUCCAACGAGCUCAAGGGUCAUAUUCCCUCCUCCCUUCGACUCCUCCCUCAGGUGAGCUCGAAGGUGAUGGGGCUAGGGGGGCGGAGCAGGCUGCACCUCGGACUCAUACCCUUGCUGUUUGUACGUUUUUUUUGUGCUAUUUCUUCUUGUUGCAAUGUGUUUGUUGGGUUGUUGCAAUAGAUAAUAUACUGAAUGUUGUAAUAGGAUUUUUGAGUUGUUGCAACUAAUGAUUUUCGAGAGUUUCCAUUACCCUGUUUUAUGGUUGAUUUUGUGUUGUUGCAGUAUUACUAUUUAAGAUAUUGCAGUACACAU